UUAGGUAAAGUCCCGCUGAGGACACUCCCAAACCACGAGGCUCUCCGCUUCGCUUUUCCUUCUUCCUCUUCUCGUCUCUCGAACGGUUCUGUUCUUCCAUUCCGCCUCGCUUUUGAUGUCAAUUUGAGAUUUGGUCUGCCCGCAAAGGUUUAUCUGAUAUGUUUUUCGUUUUUGAGGGGAUGAUUUGAUGUUUGUUGGAUUGGAUAGGAGGGAGGAUUAGGGUUUUGGUGAAGAUUGAUGCGCAAGGGUGUUGAAGAAUCCGAUGGAGGAGAAGAAGAUGGAUCUCGAAGCACCGCUGCUGUCCGUUCGGAGAUUCUCGGCGGGGCCGUCGGCUUCUCCGACGCUGCUACCGGAGGAGGAGGGCGAGGCGCGGCCUCCGCCGCCAAGGAGGGCAUCGCUUCCGUACUACAAGUCGGAUUUGAAAUCGGGCCCAGUGCGUGUUCCAGGGGUCGUCCCGUUCGUAUGGGAGCAGACUCCGGGGUUGCCUAAGAACGGGGCGCGAUCGGCCGUGGACAGCGGUGGGAAGGUGAUGAAGGUCCCCAAGCUUCCGCCUGGAAGGAUCCAGAACGGCAAGGGGGGAAACUCGUUUCGGGAUGCCUUGGCUCCGGCUGUGAAGGUUGGCAGCAGUGUGCGGACUCGUAAAGCUGUGACCUUUGCGCCCGAUGCUGGAACUGCCAAUUCUUACGAGUCUUCUGAGGACGUGCCUAAGAUUGUCGUGGAUGAGAGGGUAGAGAAGAUUGAGAAGGAAAAUAAGGUAGAAAAUGCCGAUAGGAUUGAGAUGCCAGUGAAGACAGAGAAUAUGGAAGAGAUUGAGGUGGAGGAAACGGUUGAAAGUGAAGAGAGGAUUGAGAAAGCUGAGAAGGUAGAGAAAAAGCUAGAAAAGCAGCCCGUUUCAGCCUCAGAGAAUCAUAAUAAAGAAGACAAUGUUGAAGAAGACGCCUUCUCUGAUGCGCUUGAUACACUAUCACGAUCGGAGUCAUUCUUCAUGAAUUGUAGUGUCAGUGGCAUUAGUGGAAUCCCAGAUGUGGCCAAGUUCUCGGGCAACUUUCUCAAGGAUCCCGAGCUCAGGGAUUUCAUGAUAGAGAGGUUCUUGCCUGCUGCACAGGCAAUGUCUUCCGAUUCACCCCAUUAUACCUUUAAAAAAUCAGCUGCACCUCCACGAGCGGCUACGAAGCUUCUUGAGAGGGUUGAAACUAGUGAUCCUGCCAAGAGGCCACCUAUUCCCCUCCAGAAAAAUUAUGCUUAUCCCGAACAGUAUGCUAAGGAGUUGGAGGAAGAGGAUACCUAUGAUGAAGACAAUGAAGACGGUGAAGAUGAGGAGUGCUAUGAUGAUACUGGCCAUUUUCCUUCUAAAGGUUGUGGAUUGCUUCCUCAAUUUUGUUUGAAGAGUUCAUUCUGCCUUCUAAAUCCAGUCCCAGGGAUGAAAGUUCGAGGAAGACACUUGCCUUCAGCAAGGGGAAAGUCUGGAAGCCCACAGAUCAAGAAUGUAUAUCCAAUAUCUCUUGUUCAAGUUGAAGAGCUCUCAUGGGAAGCUGUUUAUGGAAAAAAAUUGGGUCUGGAACAUUCUCCCCAGAAAGAAGUGAUAGGUAAAUUGAGUGAAUCUGAUACUCUUACAGCUGAUUGUUCAUCUGCAUUUGGUAAUUCAGUGGCUACCGGAGGUACAACCCCUGAUAAAAAUGAUGGCCAUCCAUCAACUGUUCAUGAAAGGAAGGAUUCUGUUGGAAUUCUAAGCAGAGAAAGCAAUUGUAGUAAGAUUGAUGGUUCUGAUGCUGGCGAGAAAAGCAGCGGAAGCUACAGGGAAAUAAAUCACAGCAACCAAAUAGGUUCAGAGUCCAUGAGCUCUUUAUUGGACAAAACUCUGCGUGUAGAUUCAGGUAAUAGACCAGGAUCUUCGGACUCAAAGGCUAGUUCCUUCUAUGCUGUCAGUGAUACUAGAAGUAUGAUGAGUUCUGGUGAGAUUGGUAUAGAUAGUUGGAGUAGAGAAAGUAUAGUUGCUGGAGCUGAUAAAAAAAAUGCAUUGCAACCAGAAGUCACCAAAGUUUCUAUGCCCAUUUCACUCUUCCCUUCAAAAAGAUUAAAUAAUGGGAAUAUGGAUGUUGAUGAUAAUAGAAAUCGUGGCAAUGAUAGUGAGCCAUUGCAUUUGAAGAGCGGCAUUAAUCCUUUGCUGUCACUGCUGCCUCCACCAUUGCCGAAAUCACCAUCAGAGUCUUGGCUUUCUAGAACUUUGCCUUCUGUCUCAUCAAAAAAUCCAACUCCACAGUCAUUAUUAGGCAUUCAACUUCAGAAUAGGAAACAAACUGUGCAAACACCCUCUAAUGACGUGAAACAAGAAACAAAUAUCAGGCCUUCAAGAUCACGACGUCGACAGAUUCGAUUUGCUGAGGUGCUGUCAAAACCUGACUCACAAAUAUAAGAAAAAUGAGGUGUAAACUUACUUUUCUUCCACCAUCACACCAUAUCUUAUGAUUACAGAGGAUAGAGAAGGUAUACGAAGGAUCGGAAUUGUGAGGGGAGGGUGAGUAUCACUGGUCACAAAUCGUUUCUUUUAUCCUAAAUCUAAGAUUCAUGAUCCUUGAUCGCACUGUUGGGUAAUCAACUAGAAUUUCUCUUUUCGAAAUCUUUGAAAAAAAGGUAAUUCGUAUAAUGAAGUUUACAAGGAGUAUAAGAUAAAGAUUGUUGUAGCUCUUUGUUGAUGUAACUUGCACAGAUUUGAAGCAUAGAGCAGUAGCAGCACGAACAGAGAGAAAGAAGACUAGAAGGUUGCACAGAAGUUCUUAUCGGUAUGUACUUUUAUAAGCAUUGUUCGAUUGAUCGAAAAAGUCGUCGAUGGAUCUUUUCGGUCGAUCGAUCUCCUUAUCGGUUGACUGAUCAACUAAUCUUUCUUCUUCGGUGAGUUCCGAUCUUUGUGUCGUUAAUGUCAUUUAAUGUUUGAUCGAUCAUCUUGAUUGGUUGACUGAUCCUUGUGUUUUUCAAUUUUGCCGAGAUCGAAUCUGCCACUAUGUUUAUCAAAUUAGGUUCGGUUGACCGAUUCACCUAAAUUCCAAAUGUGUUCUGUGCGACUUGAACUUGUGUCAUGUCAGCUUGGUUCAAUCGACUGAACCUUCUAUUCGGUCGGCCGAUCCUUUCAAUUUUUGCAAAAUGGAGUUAGUUCGAUAUAAUAAUAAUAUUCUUGUAUAACAAAGUUAGUAUAAUAUUAAAUAAUGCAUAAGUAAGAGAAGAUAGUAAGACAUGUUUGGAUCUCAACUUGGAGACCUCCUGAUUUCUUCAGUUGGAUCAACGACCUAGGGUUUGUCCUUUCCUGGGACAUGACCUCCCCAUUGCUCCACUCUAGUUGCUUAUCUCAACUUACAAACCAAACAUUUAUCCUCCAAAUCUAUUUUGGCUAAGAUUGUUUUUGCAAUACUAAAUUAGCCAAUAAUAAUAAUAAUAGUAAUGUAAAAUGUUAUAGUAAAACUAAACUUAAGUUUACCGAUCGGAAGCCUUUCGAUCAACUUUGCUUGGAGUUCACUCCUCUAAAAUUUUUCAUUACCUAAGGUUGCCUCUUAGGGUUUUCACUUUUCACCACUUGAUUUUACUUAUCAGAACUUUUACUUAGACUUCACUCUUCCAAGACCUAGGAUUAUCUUCCCCUAAGGUUUUCCUCUUUACCUAGGGUUACCUCCUCCUAGGGUAUUCUUCUUGCCAAGCAUUAGUCACCUUUAUCUGUUUGGAUUUAGCCAUUCGGUAGACUACUUACCAUUUGUCAGUCAUCUAGUCAACAUUGACUUGAUUAGACUCCAUUUAAUAUAUUGUCAAACAAACAUCAAAAUCUAAGAUCUCGAUUACACCAACCGUAUACAUCUAUGUCCACAUGGUUUAGGGUUUUAAGCAUCAUGGUCUCUGUUUCUCCAGAAAAGACUAGUACUAAGCUAGAAUUUUAUUCUCUUCUUUAAACUGUGUGCAGUCGCACAUAGGCCGCCAUAUUUCUGUUUUUUGCCUCCACCAUUAAUUCAGUUUUUUGAUCUUAUACAAGGGAUUUUUUAUUUAUUUAAACGGUUGGCCUGAGGCCUGGAACAAGAAUACAUUAUGAGAACACUUAAUUAUUUUUCUUGUGGUUAGUUGGUGGUUGGCUUAGGAUCAACACUAACAUCAGCUUGACAAAGACCAUCAAGCAUUAAUUUUGAGCAAAUACUUAAACUGGUCCUUACCAAAAUGUUUGGUGAAACAAUUUGAUGACCAAGUAGAAUAUUUUAUUAUAAUAGGUGAGUGGAUUUAAAGCGAAUAUUUUGAACUAGAAAUUCUUCACUAGUAGGAGCAGAUAAGGUAUAUAUAUUUGCCCAUUAAUUUUUGGUCUGGGGCUUGUUGGUGAUUCUGAUUAACUUACAGUAUCUCUAUCUUUUCCUCUUGCCUGAAAAUGCAAGUUGCAGAUUAGUGUCUACACCCAUGCUGAAGAUACUACCAAACCAGGAGAGUCCAGCAAAUGAAAGCGGCAUAAAAUGUUGCUAUUGUCGAUGGAGGUCUCUUUUUGUCAAUGUCAAACUCAUGAGGGGUCCAUCUAGAUGCUGCUCAUUUCUAGUGCCUUUGACAAGCUUAUGAACAGCCACGUAUCUAUCUCAUGCCAAAGGAGAAAACUCUAGUUCUUGUCUAGUUGAAAGCGAUCAGUAAAUGGGAUAACUAGUGCCGACGCACUACCUCCCCUUACUUCGAGCCUACAUGAUUCCAAGCCAUCGGCGACGCAGUACCCGACUUCCCCUCCAAAUCAUUGGCAGCGACUUGAUCUCCCUUUACUUCAACUCUAAAGCAUCUCCAUCGAUGUUGAAGACAAAAAUCGGAGAACCGGUAGAAUCCUACUUUCAGCUUCAACCCAAGAAUCAUCGGUAAGUUAUAAUUUUCUGUCCUAGAUUUUGACUAAUUUGUUAUUCUUGUGUGAAAAAUUGAAGCUUUAGGUCAUGAGUGUUUUAGUUCA